rnacentral:snRNA from 1 species
AUACAUUUCUCAGCCUUUUGGCUAAGAUAAGGUGUAAUAUUUGUUCUUAUCAACUUAAUAUCUGAGGUGUGGACCAUAUGUUCACUUUGAUAUUAAAUUUAUUUUUUAUGGGUAUCAAAU